rnacentral:rRNA from 1 species
CCUACGGGAGGCUGCAGUGGGGAAUAUUGGACAAUGGGGGGAACCCUGAUCCAGCCAUGCCGCGUGUGUGAAGAAGGCCCUCGGGUUGUAAAGCACUUUCAGUGAGGAAGAACGCCUGGUGGUUAAUACCCAUCAGGAAAGACAUCACUCACAGAAGAAGCACCGGCUAACUCCGUGCCAGCAGCCGCGGUAAUACGGAGGGUGCGAGCGUUAAUCGGAAUUACUGGGCGUAAAGCGCGCGUAGGUGGCUUGAUAAGCCGGUUGUGAAAGCCCCGGGCUCAACCUGGGAACGGCAUUCGGAACUGUCAAGCUAGAGUGCAGGAGAGGAAGGUAGAAUUCCCGGUGUAGCGGUGAAAUGCGUAGAGAUCGGGAGGAAUACCAGUGGCGAAGGCGGCCUUCUGGACUGACACUGACACUGAGGUGCGAAAGCGUGGGUAGCAAACAGGAUUAGAUACCCUGGUAGUC